rnacentral:rRNA from 1 species
ACACGACUACAUUAGAUACCCGGGUAGUCCUAGCCGUAAACGAUACUCGCUAGGUGUCGGCCACGGUGCGACCGUUGUCGGUGCCGUAGGGAAGCCGUGAAGCGAGCCACCUGGGAAGUACGGCCGCAAAGGCUGAAACUUAAAGGAAUUGGCGGGGGAGCACAACAACGGGUGGAGCUUGCGGUUUAAUUGGAUUCAACGCCGGAAAUCUUACCGGGACCGACAGCAACAUGAAGGCCAAGCUGAAGACUUUGCCGGAUUAGCUG